AGAGUUUGAUCAUGGCUCAGGAUUAACGCUGGCGGUAUGCCUAACACAUGCAAGUCGAACGGAAUACUAAUUUAAGAGAAUCUCACACUAGUGAGAGGUUCUCACGAGUAGUAUUUAGUGGCGGACGGGUGAGUAACACGUUGGAACCUGCCCCGAAGUGGGGAAUAACUGCUCGAAAGAGUAGCUAAUACCCCAUAGUAUCCGGUUUAUCCGGAUUAAAGAUUUAUCGCUUCGGGAGGGCCUGCGUCUGAUUAGCUAGUUGGUGAGGUAAAAGCUCACCAAGGCGACGAUCAGUAGCUGGUUCGAGAGGAUGACCAGCCACACUGGGACUGAGAUACGGCCCAGACUCCUACGGGAGGCAGCAGUGAGGAAUCUUCCACAAUGGGCGCAAGCCUGAUGGAGCAAUACCGCGUGCAGGAAGACGCUUUCGGAGUGUAAACUGCUUUUGUCGUCGAAGAUUAUGACUGUAGACGAAGAAUAAGGACCGGCUAACUACGUG
rnacentral:rRNA from 1 species